UACGAAGGGGGCUAGCGUUGCUCGGAAUCACUGGGCGUAAAGCGCACGUAGGCGGACUCUUAAGUCAGGGGUGAAAUCCUGGAGCUCAACUCCAGAACUGCCUUUGAUACUGGGAGUCUUGAGUUCGGGAGAGGUGAGUGGAACUGCGAGUGUAGAGGUGAAAUUCGUAGAUAUUCGCAAGAACACCAGUGGCGAAGGCGGCUCACUGGCCCGAUACUGACGCUGAGGUGCGAAAGCGUGGGGAGCAA
rnacentral:rRNA from 1 species